rnacentral:rRNA from 1 species
UAGCUUAAAGUUUAUAUUUUAGGUGAGACCUGCUCAAUGAAGAUAUUAAUUACUUUAAAUAGCCGCAGUACUUUGACUGUGCUAAGGUAGCAUAAUAAAUUGGCUUUUAAUUGAAGUCUGGAAUGAAAGGUAAAUUUGAAAAAAAUUGUCUCUAAUUAGAUUUAUUUAACUUACUUAAUAGGUGAAAAUUCCUAUAAUAUUUUUUAAUAGACGAGAAGACCCUAAGAAUUAUUAAAAAUAAGUUUAUUUUACUUUAAUUUUUUGUUGGGGCAACAACUUUGGAAGAAAAACCAAAGGCUUAAAAAAUUUUAAGAUAAAUUUUAUUUUGGAAAAAUUUAAUUACCUUAGGGAUAACAGCAUAAUUUUAUUUUUUAGAUUGUGACCUCGAUGUUGGAUUAAGGAUCUCUUAGGUAAGCCACUUUAGAGAGUAGUUCUGUUCGAACUUUUUGUCCUU